rnacentral:rRNA from 1 species
CUACGGGAGGCAGCAGUGGGGAAUAUUGCACAAUGGGCGCAAGCCUGAUGCAGCGACGCCGCGUGGGGGAUGACGGCCUUCGGGUUGUAAACCUCUUUCACCUAUGACGAAGCGAGAGUGACGGUAGUAGGAGAAGAAGCACCGGCCAACUACGUGCCAGCAGCCGCGGUAAUACGUAGGGUGCGAGCGUUGUCCGGAAUUACUGGGCGUAAAGAGCUCGUAGGUGGUUUGUCGCGUUGUCCGUGAAAACUCACAGCUUAACUGUGGGCGUGCGGGCGAUACGGGCAGACUGGAGUACUGCAGGGGAGACUGGAAUUCCUGGUGUAGCGGUGGAAUGCGCAGAUAUCAGGAGGAACACCGGUGGCGAAGGCGGGUCUCUGGGCAGUAACUGACGCUGAGGAGCGAAAGCGUGGGGAGCGAACAGGAUUAGAUACCCUGGUAGUCC